rfam:Ixodes scapularis strain Wikel colony gcontig_1108378673614, whole genome shotgun sequence.
UCCUGGUUAACUCAGUUGGCAGAGCGCUCAACUGGAAAUAGAGAGGUCCUUGGUUCGAUAACAGGACCAGGCG